GGCGACAUAGCUCAGUUGGGAGAGCGCACGACUGAAGUUCGAAAAGAUUCUUCAAUCGUGCGGUCCCUGGUUCGAUCCCGGGUGGUGCCA
rnacentral:tRNA from 1 species